GUCAGGCGGGACUACCCGCUGAGUUUAAGCAUAUAAAUAAGCGGAGGAGAAGAAACUUACAAGGAUUCCCCUAGUAACGGCGAGCGAACCGGGAGCAGCCCAGCUUGAGAAUCGGGCGGCUGUGCCGUCCGAAUUGUAGUCUGGAGAGGCGUCCUCAGCGACGGACCGGGCCCAAGUCCCCUGGAAAGGGGCGCCUGGGAGGGUGAGAGCCCCGUCCGGCCCGGACCCUGUCGCCCCACGAGGCGCCGUCAACGAGUCGGGUUGUUUGGGAAUGCAGCCCAAAUCGGGCGGUAGACUCCGUCCAAGGCUAAAUACAGGUGAGAGACCGAUAGCGAACAAGUACCGCGAGGGAAAGAUGAAAAGGACUUUGAAAAGAGAGUCAAAGAGUGCUUGAAAUUGCCGGGAGGGAAGCGGAUGGGGGCCGGCGAUGCGCCCCGACCGUAUGCGGAACGGCUCUUGCUGGUCCGCCGCUCGGCUCGGGGUGUGGACUGUUGUCGGCCGCGCCGGCGGCCAAAGCCCGGGGGCCCUAGGUGCCCCCGGUGGCCGUCGUCGGCACGACCGGUAGCCGCGCGCCGAAAGGCGUGUCCCUUGGGGCACUGCGCUGCAACGGCCUGCGGGCUCCCCAUCCGACCCGUCUUGAAACACGGACCAAGGAGUCUGACAUGCGUGCGAGUCGACGGGUUCUGAAACCUGGGAUGCGCAAGGAAGCUGACGAGCGGGAGGCCCUCACGGGCCACACCGCUGGCCGACCCUGUCUUCUGUGAAGGGUUCGAGUUGGAGCACGCCUGUCGGGACCCGAAAGAUGGUGAACUAUGCCUGAGCGGGGCGAAGCCAGAGGAAACUCUGGUGGAGGCUCGAAGCGA
rnacentral:rRNA from 1 species